UCCAGCUGCAGGGAGGCGGGACCCCCUUGGGAUUCACUAAGCGCUGGGAGCAAGAGACGGGAACGAGUCUCACGGACAGCGAGUGGGACAAAAUCUUUAUGCUGACACACAAAGGGAGCAUCUGCUCCAAAUACCAGGAAUGUAACUACAAAAUCUUAACGGGCUGGCACAGAACCCCAGAUAUAUUACGUCAUGUUCACGAGUCAAUCCCC